GAUGAACGCUGGCGGCGUGCCUAAUACAUGCAAGUCGAGCGAACGGACGAGAAGCUUGCUUUUCUGAUGUUAGCGGCGGACGGGUGAGUAACACGUGGAUAACCUACCUAUAAGACUGGGAUAACUUCGGGAAACCGGAGCUCAUACCGGAUAAUAUUUUGAACCGCAUGGUUCAAAAGUGAAAGACGGUCUUGCUGUCACUUAUAGAUGGUUCCGCGCUGCAUUAGCUAGUUGGUAAGGUAACGGCUUACCAAGGCAACGAUGCAUAGCUGACCUGAGAGGGUGAUCGGCCACACUGGAACUGAGACACGGUCCAGACUCCUACGGGAGGCAGCAGUAGGGAAUCUUCCGCAAUGGGCGAAAGCCUGACGGAGCAACGCCGCGUGAGUGAUGAAGGUCUUCGGAUCGUAAAACUCUGUUAUUAGGGAAGAACAUAUGUGUAAGUAACUGUGCACAUCUUGACGGUACCUAAUCAGAAAGCCACGGCUAACUACGUG
rnacentral:rRNA from 1 species